AAUUGUUGUUUAUUGUUUCAUGUUAAUUAACAAUUUGUAGUAUUCAAUAUAUGUGAUUAUUAUGCUGUUUCCUUCAAGGUUUUCUUUGAAUGGGAAAAAGUAAAACAUUCAACUGGUUUGGUGUUUUUCUUGUUUUCAUUUAUCAUUCAAAAUUGUUUACUUUUUGUUAAUCAAUUUGUUAAUCUUUUUAUCACAUCAUCGCAAUUUAAUUACAUCAUUUCUACAAUCAAGGAUAAAUGGAGAAUCUUAAAAGGAUAACAUUUCUAAUUCCGUGAUGAAAAUUUUCAAUAUUCUCAUGAAUUUCUGGUUACCCAACCAGAUUCUAAUCUCUCACCAGUUAAAUCCACAGACCUUAACUACAUGACUUAAUCAAUGGAAAACCUUGAAACAAUCAGCUAACCAUAAUGAGAAAAUGGUACAAUCUUUUUCUUGGUAAUUGAAACGUUCAUUUAAUCAUUUCUUCCCUUGGAUUGAUCGAGACAAUUGGUUGGCUUUUACUUUUCGGAAACAAUUCAAAUCACAGAGGGCGACAGUAGAAGUAGAAAUAGAUAAGAAAAAAGUAUCAACAUGAUCCUCUAUGGGAAUCUGAUCCAAGGAGAGUCAAAAGAAGCAAAGAAUUUCUCAUCCUCAUUAACAGUAAUUAAAUCAAACAAUUAACCAUCUCAUCAAUCCCACGGAGUUUAAAUUGUUGCUCAUCUUGAUCAUCAUUUACAUGGUAACAUUUGGGAACAAUGUAAAUUCUGGCCAUUGAAAACAAUGUGAUUCCAAUUUAUCUUGUCUCCGAUUUGUUUUUUACCAACGAAAAACCUUUCCAAUCAAAAUCAAUCUUAAAGAUUAAUUGUGUUUACAAUUACAUUAUCCAUCCUGUUCUGGUUCAAUCAUCAAUUACCACAAACAUUUACCAAGUAAAACAAUCAAUGGAAUCAACAUUUAACAUUUAAUUGUAAACAAUCAAACAAAGAUUCAAAGUGAAGCCAAACUCAUGUUGAAUGCAUUGGAACAAGAUUUUUUAAUUCUCGGCGUCCUGUUGAUUGUUUAUUGUUUCAUUCUGUUAAUUUUAUUCCUAAUUAAGGUGAAACGAGCUCGAGCCAUGAGAGGAGUCUAUUCCCCGUCAACCUAUGAGAAGUACCAGGUCACCGUACCUUAUAUAAUUCGACCUCCGCCCAUCGAAAGACUCAUCUAAGUUGAUCUACCGACAUUCGCCAAUUUGAAUAUUAUUAAUAUCGAUUAUGCAAAUUGGGAACAAUCAUCAUUCCAAGAUGUCUGAAGAUUUAAUCAACAAACUGUGCCUUCAAUUAUUGGGAUAAACUUUCACACCUCUAACAAUCAGAUUAACUAUAUUAAGAAUAUGUCACACAAUUAAGAUUGACACUGAUUAGAACCCUCUUAGGAUUACCUUAAAUUCAAUUUGAUUUUUUGUUAAUUGUGUAAAAACUUUUUUUUUAUGUAUGAUUAUCAUUAUUAUUGUUAAUAACUCUAAAUUAUGAGUGUCAAUCUAAUCUAUUAUUAUUAUGUUUGUUAACCAAUUAACCUCAAUUAGUAGAGAAAUUUUUGUCAAAUAAUCAUUUUAACCUUAAUUGUA